UACUGUUAAUGAUGAAAUAGUUUGAAACAAUGGGAAUCUCUCUGAAAGGUAAUGAAGAGAUGUUUACACUGAAACAGUA